CCGCAGUCGAGCGGACAGAUGGGAGCUUGCUCCCUGAUGUUAGCGGCGGACGGGUGAGUAACACGUGGGUAACCUGCCUGUAAGACUGGGAUAACUCCGGGAAACCGGGGCUAAUACCGGAUGGUUGUUUGAACCGCAUGGUUCAAACAUAAAAGGUGGCUUCGGCUACCACUUACAGAUGGACCCGCGGCGCAUUAGCUAGUUGGUGAGGUAACGGCUCACCAAGGCGACGAUGCGUAGCCGACCUGAGAGGGUGAUCGGCCACACUGGGACUGAGACACGGCCCAGACUCCUACGGGAGGCAGCAGUAGGGAAUCUUCCGCAAUGGACGAAAGUCUGACGGAGCAACGCCGCGUGAGUGAUGAAGGUUUUCGGAUCGUAAAGCUCUGUUGUUAGGGAAGAACAAGUACCGUUCGAAUAGGGCGGUACCUUGACGGUACCUAACCAGAAAGCCACGGCUAACUACGUGCCAGCAGCCGCGGUAAUACGUAGGUGGCAAGCGUUGUCCGGAAUUAUUGGGCGUAAAGGGCUCGCAGGCGGUUUCUUAAGUCUGAUGUGAAAGCCCCCGGCUCAACCGGGGAGGGUCAUUGGAAACUGGGGAACUUGAGUGCAGAAGAGGAGAGUGGAAUUCCACGUGUAGCGGUGAAAUGCGUAGAGAUGUGGAGGAACACCAGUGGCGAAGGCGACUCUCUGGUCUGUAACUGACGCUGAAGAGCGAAAGCGUGGGGAGCGAACAGGAUUAGAUACCCUGGUAGUCCACGCCGUAAACGAUGAGUGCUAAGUGUUAGGGGGUUUCCGCCCCUUAGUGCUGCAGCUAACGCAUUAAGCACUCCGCCUGGGGAGUACGGUCGCAAGACUGAAACUCAAAGGAAUUGACGGGGGCCCGCACAAGCGGUGGAGCAUGUGGUUUAAUUCGAAGCAACGCGAAGAACCUUACCAGGUCUUGACAUCCUUUGACAAUCCUAGAGAUAGGACGUCCCCUUCGGGGGCAGAGUGACAGGUGGUGCAUGGUUGUCGUCAGCUCGUGUCGUGAGAUGUUGGGUUAAGUCCCGCAACGAGCGCAACCCUUGAUCUUAGUUGCCAGCAUUCAGUUGGGCACUUUAAGGUGACUGCCGGUGACAAACCGGAGGAAGGUGGGGAUGACGUCAAAUCAUCAUGCCCCUUAUGACCUGGGCUACACACGUGCUACAAUGGACAGAACAAAGGGCAGCGAAACCGCGAGGUUAAGCCAAUCCCACAAAUCUGUUCUCAGUUCGGAUCGCAGUUU
rnacentral:rRNA from 1 species